rnacentral:piRNA from 1 species
UUCUAACUGUUUGCUUGAUAC